rnacentral:rRNA from 1 species
GCAAUGCCGCGUGUGUGAAGAAGGCCUGCGGGUUGUAAAGCACUUUCAGUAGAGAAGAAAAGCUUACGGUUAAUACCCGUGAGUCUUGACGUAACCUACAGAAGAAGCACCGGCUAACUCCGUGCCAGCAGCCGCGGUAAUACGGAGGGUGCGAGCGUUAAUCGGAAUUACUGGGCGUAAAGCGCGCGUAGGCGGUUUUGUAAGUCGGAUGUGAAAUCCCCGGGCUUAACCUGGGAACUGCAUUCGAUACUGCAUAACUAGAGUAUGGUAGAGGGAAGUGGAAUUUCCGGUGUAGCGGUGAAAUGCGUAGAUAUCGGAAGGAACACCAGUGGCGAAGGCGACUUCCUGGGCCAAUACUGACGCUGAGGUGCGAAAGCGUGGGGAGCAAACAGGAUUANAUACCCUGGUAGUCCACGCCGUAAACGAUGAGAACUAGAUGUUGGGNAGGGUUGCCUCUCGGUGUCGCAGCUAACGCGUUAAGUUCUCCGCCUGGGGANUACGCCGGCNACGGUAAAACUC